UCGAGGGGCAGCGGUGGUGAAGGCUUGCCUUUACCAGCCGGCGACCGGCGCACGGGUGAGUAACACGUAUGCAACCUGCCUGCCACAGCCGGAUAAUCGGGAGAAAUUCCGUCUAAUACGGCAUAAUGCACCUAUGGGACAUCCUGUUGGUGCCAAAGGUUGAUUCCGGUGGCGGAUGGGCAUGCGUCGCCAUUAGUUAGUUGGCGGUGUAACGGACCACCAAGACGACGAUGCGUAGGGGUUCUGAGAGGAAGGUCCCCCACACUGGUACUGAGACACGGACCAGACUCCUACGGGAGGCAGCAGUGAGGAAUAUUGGUCAAUGGGCGGGAGCCUGAACCAGCCAAGUCGCGUGAGGGAUGACGGCCCUAUGGGUUGUAAACCUCUUUUGCCGGGGAGCGAAGUGCCGCACGUGUGCGGUUUGGAGAGUACCCGGAGAAAAAGCAUCGGCUAACUCCGUGCCAGCAGCCGCGGUAAUACGGAGGAUGCGAGCGUUAUCCGGAUUUAUUGGGUUUAAAGGGUGCGUAGGCGGACGCUUAAGUCAGCGGUAAAAUUGCGGGGCUCAACCUCGUCGAGCUGUUGAAACUUGGUGCCUUGAGUGCGCGAGAAGUACGCGGAAUGCGUGGUGUAGCGGUGAAAUGCAUAGAUAUCACGGAGAACUCCGAUUGCGAAGGCAGCUUACCGGCGCCCAACUGACGUUGAGGCUCGAAGGCGUGGG
rnacentral:rRNA from 1 species